AGCUUUGUGCUGUGGCAGUAUCGUAGCCAAUGAGGUUUAUCCGAGGUGCGAUUAUUGCUAAUUGAAAAAUGCUCAAUUUCAAAAAAAAUAAUAAAAAAAAAGAAAAAUGCUCAAUUUCAUUAAGGUUUCAUAAAAA